CUGCCCUGUUCGUACCGUUACCAGACUCCACUGCUGACGGGUUCCAUCCCAGUGCCAUAGACGUUCCCAAAAUAACAAAAGACUGACAAAACUUGUCUGUCUGAGUUUAUAUUGGGAGACAAGA
rnacentral:snoRNA from 1 species